rnacentral:rRNA from 1 species
UACGUAGGCAGCGAGCGUUGUUCGGAGUUACUGGGCGUAAAGGGUGUGUAGGCGGUUAUUUAAGUUUGGUGUGAAAUCUCCCGGCUCAACCGGGAGGGUGCGCCGAAUACUGAAUGACUUCGAGUGCGGGAGAGGAUAGUGGAAUUCCUGGUGUAGCGGUGAAAUGCGUAGAUAUCAGGAGGAACACCGGUGGUGUAGACGGCUAUCUGGACCGUAACUGACGCUGAGACACGAAAGCGUGGGUAGCAAACAGG